rnacentral:rRNA from 1 species
UACGUAGGUACCGAACGUUGUCCGGAAUCACUGGGCGUAAAGGGUCCGUAGGCGGUUUGAUAAGUCUCAUAUGAAAACUUCAAGCUUAACUUGGAGAGGUUGUGAGAUACUGUCAAACUAGAGACUGUUAGAGGUAAGUGGAGUUCCAGGUGUAGUGGUGAAAUGCGUAGAUAUCUGGAGGAACACCAGUGGCGAAAGCGACUUACUGGGACAGUUCUGACGCUAAGGGACGAAAGCGUGGGGAGCGAAC